GACGAACGCUGGCGGCGUGCUUAACACAUGCAAGUCGAGCGGAGCGGCGAACGGGUGAGUAACGCGUGAGUAACUGCCCCCCUCUCUGGGAUAACAGUUGGAAACGGCUGCUAAUACCGGAUAGUGGGGGAUGACUCGCGUCCUAUCAGCUUGUUGGUGGGGUAGUGGCCUCCCAAGGCGACGACGGGUAGCCGGCCUGAGUGGGCGACCGGCCCCAUGUGGCUGAGAUACGGCCAGAACUACGACGGGAGGCAGCAGUGGGGAAUAUUGCACAAUGGGGGAAACCCUCAUGCAGAAACGCCGCGUGCGGGAGGACGGCCUUCGGGUUGUAAACAGAUUUUAGCUAUGACGCGGUAGUGGCAGAAGAAGCACCGGCUAACUACGUGCCAGCAGCCGCGGUAAUAC
rnacentral:rRNA from 1 species